rnacentral:tRNA from 1 species
GGUCAUGGCUCAGGGCUAGAGCACUCGCCUCGCACACGUGAGGCACCGGGUUCGAUCCCCAGCACCA